GGGGGUAGAGGAAACCAAUGAAUAUAAGCAAACCAAGAGAGACACAGUGAGACUCGGUGUAUCAAAGAGCCCUUCUUGGGGGUAGAGGAAACCAAUGAAUAUAAGCAAACCAAGAGAGACACAGUGAGACUCGGUGUAUCAAGGAGUCCUCCUUAUGUGUGCCCCUAAGAAAACGGAAAGAAUCGGUAUCCCCAAAAUUCCAAAGUGAGAGGGUCGAGGGUGCCCUGGCCUCAGUGUGCAGAGGCCUGCUGCUCGACGGCUUUUUCGGCUCCACACGCAGCCUGUUAUAGCUAAUUUAUGACUCCUGUUUUCAACAGCCUUUGUUUGGAUCUAGAAGUUACUAAUAAUAUUAACAUCGUUAGCCCUCACGGGUGAUGGUAAGUAUGUGGAUGACUCAGUACAUCACAGAGGAACAAACUGUUAUAAAAUUGUGUAUAGUAAGCCAGGUUAUGUGGGCAGCCUGGACUCCUAGCCUCUCAGGAGGCUGAGGUGUGGUGUACUUGAGACAAGCUGGGUAACAAAGUAAGACCUCAGCACAAAAAAGAAACCUACUCAUCUGAUAAGCAUAUUCGAUUUUAAUUUUUAUUCAUUUUUAAUAUUGCAACCAAACUAUCACAUAUAUAUUUUUCCUUUUAAAGACAGACCUGUAAGCUUCAAAUAAAUUCCAAAAAAAAAAAAUCCAAAUUUUCAUUUGUGUAAUAUCUGAUUAUCUUUUAUAGCUAUAGAAAAAAAAUAUUUGAAGCCAUACUUUUUAAAAAACAUAAUAUUUAUAAGUAGAGAGACGAGAUGCUCGCUGACUACAAGCACUGUAAACAUUUCCUUUCUGGGUCUACUUCCCAGCUGCCUGCCAGGGCCCAGACGGACCAUCCCAGGCAGCAGAAUGCGCAGGUGGGGCGCAGCCAGCAGUGGCUCUGCCUGUCCUCUCUGCUCAUCCAUUUUGGACCUGAGGCAGCAUUGGUCAGAUGACAUCUGAGAUGAACAGACAGACAUGUGACUGGCUUUAAAAUUAGCAACACAAGACAUGUUUAUAAGCCUGAGCUGGGGAAGAGUCCUUAGAUAUAUGACACAGGAGUUCCAAUAAUAUAAAACAUCACAGUAGAACAAAGGAGACAGGUCUCCUGAAUUUCAGUUCUUCUUCUUUUUAAAUGCUUGUUCUUUGUGUUUUGUUUGAAUCAGGACCUCUCUUUACAGCACAGCUUCCCUGGAACUCACUCUGCACACCAGGCUGGCCUUGAACUUACAGACCCUCCCUGCUGGGAUAAAAGGUGUGCACCUCCACACCAGGCACAUUUCAAUUAGUAAUUCUUUACACCAGACUGGCAAGGCUGAUUGACAUAACCUCACUUUUAAUUCUCCAGCUGACUGCUUCCCAAAGUCUACAGGUUCCCAGGAGCAGGUCUGAGCAGGUCUGAGCAGUUCGUGGCCUUGAGACUCCUAAAUGACUCACUCGAGGUGGCAGCUCCUUAGAGCAACACUUUGGAGGCAUGACCGCACUGCUGCUCUGACUAAUCCAAGGCACAUCUUGGUGACAAACCACUUUACUUAUUUGUUUUCUAUGAAUACACUGUAGCCGUUUUCAGACAAAUCUAGAAGAGGGCAUUAUCUCCCAUAACAGAUGGUUGUGAGCCACCAUGUGGUUGCUGGGAUUUGAACUCAGGACCUCUGGAAGAGCAGUGUUCUUAACCGCUGAGCCAUCUCUCCAGCCUGUAAUUUAAUUUUUAAAAAAUGAAAUAAAAGUCAUGGCACCUUGCAUUUGAUCUGUAAUUCACAUCACAUACUUUCAGGUUACUAUUGUAAGGACAGCAGUUUGUUGGGGGCUGGAGUGAUGGCUCAGUGGUUAAGAACACUGACUGCUCUUCCAAAGGUCCUGACUUCAAUUCCCAGCAACCACCUGGUGGCUCACAACCAUCUGUAAUGGGGCCUGAUGCCCUCUGCUGGUGUCCAUGAAGACAGAGUACAUAAGUAAAUAAAUCUUUAAAAAAAAUUACUUACUAUUUAUUGUAUUUGUGGCAUGUGAGAGUGGGCAAGGGGUGGGGGUCAGAGGACAUUUGCAGGAGUUCACGUUCUGUACAGCGUGGAUACCAGGGGGCAGGCAGGCCAUCAGCCUCCAAGGCGGGCCCUUAGACAGUCACCCUGCCAGCCUCUUUGACUUCACUUUACCCCCAACUUCAAAUGAAUUUGUUUUCAGAAUCUGAGUUAAGGGAGAGGUAACAUUCGUAAAUUUGUUCUUUUACUGAAGAGAAUGGGCCAGUGACAUCAUCUCUCCCGAGCUCUGCUUCCAGUUGACUGACAGAACCCUUUACAUGGCCAGUGUGGGCCGUCUGUGUCCGGAGGACAGAGUUUUCUCUGCUAUAUCAUGCUGGGCCUGAAUGUGCUCUCCACUCCUUCUCAACUAGCUUGAAAAACCUGCCUGUUUUAGCAGGCCUCCACAAGGGUCAUGUCUCUAACCACGAAGCUUAAUGAACAAAGAAAAGGAUCAGGCAUUAGUACUCAGAAUGAAGAAAUGGGCCUGGGUAUCAUCAGCUACCCCAACAGGACAAGGAAUCUGCUCAGCCACUGAGAAGAACCGAGUGUGUGCACAGAGGAAUCACAACACAGCCACACUGUAACCUCAGCAGAAGAGUCCCGGUGCAGGUAAGUGGCUAAAUCUCUAAGUGUAUGAACCAGGGCCGAAAUGUGGCUAAGGGCGGCUCUUGUUCUCAAAGAGGAGGACCCAGGUUCAGUUCCCAACACACACACGGCAGCUCACAACUUCCUGUAACUCCAGUUCCAGGAGAUCUAAUGCCUUCUUCUGAUCCCGGCAAAAACUGUGUGCAUGAUGCACACAUGUGCUGCAGGCAAAACCACUCAUGGCCUAGAAUAAGUAAAUCUAAAAAAAAAAAAAAAACAAAAACAAAACAAAACAAAAAAAACCCAAGUCUAUAAAUGGGAACAGCUCAUUAAAACUAUUCCUCUCCAAAAUGAAUAAAUAAAUAAGUGAAUGGAUGGGUAGAUGGAUGAAUGUAAGAGCUGGGUGAAGCACCUCUUUACCCCAUGUGUAGAUCUCUAUGAGUUUGAGGCCAGCCUGGUGUACAGAGUGAGUUCCAGGAUAGCCAAAGAAACACAAAGAAAUCCUGCCUUGAGGAACCUAAAUAAAUAAAUAAACCUGUCCCCUUUAAAUAAAAUAGCCUGCACUGUAUCUAACAACAGCUCCAAGUAGCUUGUAAUGAUCUUAAUCCAACCUACGGCUCGGACACACAUCUUUGUAUUAAUACAAGUCUAUCAUCGGACCUGUCUAGAAACCUCACCUCCCAAGUAUAAAAUGACUUCAUGUCGCACAUCUGCAGCAGCUGUGAGCCACAGAAAUGCUAACGGUCCUUAAAGAAUCAUAGCAAGCCAUCAACAGUCUCAACAGGAGCUUUAGGGACAGUCAGCAGAGAUAGGAGUGGAGAACUGCAUACUCAAGGGGUGAAGAGCCUGUCACCCUGUUGAAAACAGUUUCUCAGAGGCAGCAUCAUCGUCGUUGUCGUCGUCGUCGCUUGGGCCAACACUCACUCCGGCCCAAAGAUUUACUUAUUAUAUGUAAGUUUACUGUAGCUGUCUUCAGACACACCAGAAGAGGGCGUCAGAUCUCAUUAUGGAUGGUUGUGAGCCACCAUGUGGUUGCUGGGAUUUGAACUUGGGACCUUCGGAAGAGCAGUCAGUGCUCUUAACCACUGAGCCACCUCUCCAGCCCUCUCAGAGGCGUCUUGAUUAGCAGGCAAGCAACAUUCCUCACUACCCUUUGGGUUAAUGGGGACAGUCCCUGCCCCCAAAGCUGGGUCACACUGACCCACAUUAACACACCACGCACUUGGCAACAAAGUGCCUUCCCCUGCCAUGUACUCUUAGAGAACCUUCUUGUCUGCCCAGAAACCUUUUAAAUCCUAGAUUUCCCAGGGAAGUUUCCCUGACCACACCUACCCGCUCCUACCCCAUUCCUGGCCCGCCACUCUUCUGGCCUUUCUUUGCUGGCCUCACCCAUAGGCUGUGCAUUUCCCAGCGACCCAGCAUCCUUGGCUUCCUGCCGAGGCUCACAGUCAGCCUCUCUACUCCACUAAAUGCGGUGUAUUCAAGGAGUUCAAGGAGAAACGCUGACUAACAGGACAAAUGAGCGAUAGCCAGGACUGACCAGUUUGUUUGUUUUUAAAGAGGCAAAGGAGACAGAUGUGAAAUGGCAGCAGCAGAUAGGAAUGCCUGUGCUCGUGUGUGUGUGUGUGUGUGUGUGUGUGUGUGAGCAGAUACAUUUUACUUCCUGUGUAACUGUGUAAAGCACAGGCAGCUCGACUUAGACUGCACACACUCAGCCCAGUGAUCACUAUGGUAACAAAUUACUUACCCCAUCACUUCGCAUGGAGUGGUCAGCCCCCAAGCAGAUUACUCUGGUAACAGGGACCCACAUUUAAGCUUCUGGUUGUUUAGAAAUCUUCUGAAACUAGUUUAACAAUGUUUCCAGAAAGGACUCAGCUUACAGGGUAAGGCUCCCCAUCACCAAUGCCAGUGUGUGGUCUCUGAGGGACUGUGGCUCAGGCUCAACCUUCAUUUGUUUUAAUAGCAAUGACAGUCAUAUUUAGUGCCUCACCCCCAAAGCUCAUGGCAGCCUAGUCAGGUGGGCACUGUCAUGUCAUCCCGCAGGGGACACACUGGACCAGAGACAGGAGGAGUAACUGACGGACCACAUGCCUACACAACUGCAGAAUCCCGAUUCAAGUUCGCGCUUGUAUGCACAAUGCAAGGUUGUUAUGCGAUCAGAUGGCUGAGAAGGUGUGUGUUGUGUUCUGUAAAUGGCCCAUUAUCAUCAUAUCUUGUCAUGAGACCUGAACCUGGAAUUGCUUCCUUCUGGAUGGUCUUUCAUAGCCUAAGGAAUUGGUGCCUAGGAAGGCCAGGAGGGAAAAACAUUUCCAAAACACUGUUGCUUUUUCUGAGCCCUAAGAAGUUACAAAAUGAAAACAGCAGAAACACACAGACUCCUCUUUCUUCACAUUCCUUUCCUGCCUGAAGAAGAAACAACACUGGGGUGCAAGUCUUUGAUAACAAGCAGCCUCCCAGCUUCCCCUUCCAGUAGAUCACCUUGCUUCUCUGCCAACCCAAGACCUCAGCUUGUCCCAGACCGCAGUGGACUUUACCCGACAUUAACACAGCUAUGGAGUCCCAGGCUCUGACACAGGUCUCCACGUAAAAUGGCUGUGACACUAUAGCUCCGGCAAAGUACUUAUAUCAACGAUGUCAGCCACUUUGAACAUUAGAUCCCUGCACUGGCAGUGAGAGAGUAAGAGAUGUGUCAAGACUGGGUGAGAGGCGCCGAGUGUGUGACAGACAGCUCUACUAUUGUUGAAGGAAAUGUGUCUCCUGCCCAAGCUGCGUGGCCUAUGAAGAGUAAGGGUGAGCUAGGCCUGCUCACCAUGAAGGAGAGCAAUGAGGCUAGCUGCCUCCAGAGCUGCACGUUAACAUUGUAUCAACCCCAGAAACUAUCUUCUGUGUGAAGUCUCAUGGCUUUGGCUGACUUUUCUUCCCUACGCUGUGUUACUGUGAGGAUUCAGGAAAACUAAAAAUAAUAUUCUAAUUAUGAAAUCUUGUGAUCAUUUCUGAGAAAGACACCAUUAAAGAGCACAACGGGGAUGAGGGAGGGCUAGACAGAUGGCUCAGUGGUUUAAGGGCACAGGCUGCUCUCAAAGAGGAUCUAGGUUUGGUUCCCAGCAUCUACGUGGGAAUUUGCAACCAUUGGCAACUUCACUUCAAGGAGACCUGUGUCAGCUUUUUCUGGCCUCUGAGGAUAUUGCACACAUGUGCUGCAGAGACAUACUUACAGGCAAACACCCACACACAUAAAUCUUUAAAAAGGGGGGAGGGGAGUUGUAAACGAACCAUGCUUCAUCACAGACGCUCUCUGGGCUAUGGACAGCACAGGUCCAUCUGCAGCUCUGCUUUCCCUUUCAUUCUGGCCUUGACAAAUGCAGACCACCCUGGGACUCCCCCCACCCCCCAGUCCCACACAUAAGGAGAACACACUGCCACAAGAACCAAUAGCCAGAGACACAGCAUAGGGCAGGGGAGGGGAUUGCUGAGUGGCCACGCCUCCUGGAGCAUGCUCUGUUUUCACCAAAGUAUACAGGAAGAAUCUCAGAAAAUGGUGCUUCUCCCUUCGUUUAAGUAAAACAACUAAGAACUAAUUGUUCUGGUGUUCGCUGUGUUCUAGGUUCUACUCUAAGAGGCUAAUGUGUGUUAUUUCAUUGCCAUGUAUCCCUUUAGUGAACUUUAUUAUGCACAAGUCAAGGAAACAUGACAUCAGUGGAUGUCUGCUACUUUUUGCGCCACGGACCACCUUACUCCCGAGAGGAAGAAAAACGUUUACGGUAGGAAACAGCUGGGGAAAGCCAGGCGCUCAACCAGCUUUACUGCUGCCCAGUGCAGGCACUGUGAGGUGGCUCUACUUCACCAUGCCUGUGCCUGACACUUGGUAUUUCGUACUGUACCGCAUACGAUUUCCUGGCGGUUUCUGCAUUUAUAGCACUUCUCUGGGAAACAGCAUGAUGAAUUACCUUUCUGGGCCAGGCACCUAAGACAUGGUACCACGCUUAUUCCCACAGUGUGAGCCAGGGAGGGUAGAAGGUUCCCCCAACCCACCCUUUCAUCCUUCCUUUUUGUUUUGUUUUGUUUUGUUUUGUUUUGUUUUGUUUUGUUUUUCAAGACAGCGUUUCUCUGUGUAGCUCUGGCUGUCAGGGUACUUGCUUUGUGGACCAAGCUGGCUUCUAACUCACAGAUAUCCAUCUGUCUCUGCCGCCCUCCUGAGUGAGGGAUUAAAGGUGCACACCACCAUGCUGGGCCUCCUCAACCCUCUCUUCAGGUAUGAGGGACCCGAGGGGCGUGGUCUGCUUUAAGAAGCAUUGGUAACAUACAGAAGAGCCAGAACUGAGGACUAGCUCGCUACCUCCCGAAUUCUCCAGCACACGGAAAGGCUGUGGCGGCUGCAGGAAUGACAAGAGCGUCUCUUUUUGAGUCAAAAUUAAAAAAAAAUAAAUAAAUAAUAAGAUUUCGGCUUCCAAUUUUAUUUUAGUUAACAACAGGAGAAAACUAACUUUUUAUUCUACAAAAGCAUGACCCGGGAUGGUGAUAUCACAGGGUUCCCGGCAGAGUUCGGGGGGGUUUCUCCACUAAGAAGGGCUAGGAACAGGAAGACUCUCCACGCCCACCCGCCAGAGGUCCGCUGUUGCUUGUUUUCCUGCUAAUAAACAGCAGAAGGGCUGGAAUCAGCAGCCUGUCAGAGUCAGACUGAGGAGAAUAGACAGGGAGACCUUUCAGCCGCACAUAGGCUGCUCCUGUUAGGUCUGUAUUGUUGCUUCCUGGCUUUCCAGGACUAAGUAACAACAUAACCACACUCAAUUCGGGUAGCGUUUCUGAAUGUAGUUUUGUUUUCCACGUGCUUUUUCCCCCCAACAUCCAAGCUAUAUACAACAGGAAGAAAACAGGUAGAUAUAACCAGUUUCUUCCCCCUGAUGAAACCCAACAGCUCUCACCUCUUUCUUACACUGGAUUGUCACUUUCUCUGUGACACACAUCCCCUCUGAAGGGAUAAGCCAGGUGUUAACUCUGUGCCCUAUUUAAAUGGCUCCCAGAAUGGUCUGAUGCAGAUGCAUAGAACCCUCAAAAAUUCCUGCUUAGUGACUACCGUACAAAGCCAUGUUUUCUUUCCUGGUUCAAGCCAAUGCUUUUUUGGGAACAACUUAUUUGAUGCCUGGGCAGUAAAACAUCUCUCACCUAUUAUUCUCAAAGGAGCCUCUUCUCUCUUCUCCAGCCAGUUCCAGGGCUUCCAACAGACUGCUUCUGGCUGACUCUACAGGCUGGAACAGAGGCCAUCUCUACUCUGACCCCAUAAUAAAUAGUCAUACUAAAACUUUUCCUCUUCAGUGUGAGAAGCAGAAAUAAAGGGAAAGCUCUGGGGCCAAAUCUAACCGGGUUUUUUUUUUUUUUUUUUUCCCUAUACAACUGACUCCAAAAUCUACAGCCUUCCUCUGAAAGAUAGCUUUCAGGUAGAUAGAAAGAUAACCAGGUGUCACAACUCGGACAUUGUACAAGCCUGUGGGCUUACACUAACCCCCUUAAAUAAACUCAGUCACAGCGUAUGUACUACUCCCUGUGCCGGGCGACCCAAACCUCAGUUCCUCUUUCUCUCUAGUCUCCCUGAGUUGUCAGGGCACAUCACUCUGGCAGGGAAUGGGGUGACUCGGGAGGCCUGUUCUUCGAUGUUUAAGAAGGGAAUUAGGGACUUUCCCCCUAGUUCUCCCUCUCCAUUUAAUUUUAAGUGCAUGGGUGGUUUGCCUGCAGGGACUUAGUCAUUCACCAGUUUUAUUUUAUGGGCCCUCAAUUCAGUUGUCAGUUCAAGUACUCCAGCAGGGGUGGCCUAGCCCCAGUAGCUGAGGCACACCCACCCCCUGCAUGAACUAUAGAGGACAUCCAGGAAGGUCACACAAGGACUGUGGCCCACCAGUUAGCAUCCCUUCUCUAAGUACUUAGCUGUAUUCUGAGACCAGGCCUCAGAUCUCAGCUCAGAGGUGCUUCUCUGACGAGGUCUUCUGAGGCGCUUUCUUUUCAAAGGUGCGGCUGGGAAGCUUUAAGUAUUUCCGCAGAGGUCUGAGGUCCUCAGAGGGAAAUUCAAAGAGCUUUAAAUUUGCUAUCUGAUCGUCCCUACUUCUUCAUCAUCAUCCUGUCUCUGUCUCAGUCUCUCUCUCAGCUGGUGAUAGUGGGAUUUUAAAAUGUACUUACUUGGCAAAAUAAAAGAGCUGAUGAUCCCACGGCAGUCUCUAGCAUUUUUAAGGGGGAAACUGUACUGUCCAGGCAUAACAGAAUUCUGGCUUACAUAACUUUACAUCAAUUUACUUGUGUUCCAAAAGUUUUAGAAUAUUUUCAUAUACAUAAUGAGAUGAUAAGAGACUGGACUGAAGUCUAAACACAACACUUAUGUUUCACAUGCCUUAUAAACAUUGCAGGAAGGUCGUUUAGUGCAGGAGUUUCGGAGAGAGUGUCUGAUUGCUUAGAGCUGGAAUUACAGGCAGUUCUGAACGGCCUCAUGUGGGUGCCAGGAAAUGACCUCUGGUCUUCUACAAGAGCAGCAAUACUCUUAACCAUGGAACCAUCUCUCCAGCCCCCAAAUAAUCACAUUUUAACUGCUUUUUAAAACCUAUACUUUUAUUUAAACAGAAAAUUUCUUUCUUGCUUAUUUAUUAUUUUUAAUGUGCAUUUUGCUUGCAUGUACGUCUGUGCACCACAUGAAUGCCUGGUGCCUGAGGAGGUGGUGCGCGUCCGUGUGGGUAUCGAAAAUCGAACCCGAGUCCUUUGCAAGGACAAAUGCUCUUAAUCACUGAGCCAAGUCUCUAGCCCUGAGCUAUACUUUUUUUCAAAGAUUUAUUUAUUUAUUAUAUAUAAGUACACUGUAGCUGUCUUCAGAUACACCAGAAGAGGGCAUUAGAUCCCAUUACAAAUGGUUGUAAGACAUCAUGUGGUUGCUGGGAUUUGAACUCAGGACCUCUAGAACAGCAGUCAGUGCUUUUAACCGUUGAGCCAUCUCUCCAGCCCCCCCUGAGCUACACUUUUUAAGAAGUUAUUUAUACUAAAUGAAGGGAAUACAGUACAAGGAAGACGGAUUCAGCACAGCUUCUAUAUCUUUCACCCAGAAAGUGACAAUGCGAACUCACCUACCUAGGGAGUCACAGCACGUAAAGUAUGUUUACAAUAACACAGAUAUUCAGGGAAGGAAAGUGGGUCAGUAUGUCAGUCAUUGUCUAGGCCAGAGGUUCUCAACCUGUGGGUCAAGAACCCUUGAGGGAUAAACGACCCUUUCACAGGGGUCAUCCUGAAUAUCAGAGAUCCUGCAUCUCAUAUAUUUGCACUAUGAUUGAUUCAUAACAGUAGUAAAAUUACAGUUAUGAAGUAGCAACAAAAAUAAUUUUAUGGCUGGGGGUCACCACAACAUGAGGAACUGUCUUAAAGGGUCACAGCAUCAGGGAGGUUGAACUACCAGUCUAGGCAAAGAGGAAACUAGAAAAAUCUGGCACAGCUCAGCUGGGUGCCAACGUCUGUAGCAAACAAGCUUUCUUCUCCUACCUUUCUACCUUCAUAAAGCUGCCCCUUUAUUAAUUAUUAAUAACCAGCGCUGGCUGAUUAUUCCACUAAUUCAAUUCUGCAAAUACAAAUCUAUUCGAAAAAAAAAUCACAAUAAUUUCCAUUAAAUCAUCUAAACACUGUAUCGUUUCACAUCCUUGCGAAUUCUAGGUGUUUUAUGCCCACUAUGCACCGAUUAUUAAUCAUAACAAUAAAGAUAUCAAUGUCUCACUGAUUCAACCUUUACAUUCAUUUACCUCCACAGAUCCUGUUACACAAGGUCCACAGGUGUCUGAUUCCUUGUCAAAGGUGUCUUUCAGGCCCUCCCACCCCUGCCCGUUCUAGCCUCUGAAUGACAGGUGCCAUGUGACCUAUCUUGGUGGACUCAUGCUGGGGACUGUGGUCUCUUCCAGAAGCAGCCUUGACUCAGUAAAAAAAGCAUCAGGGAAGACACUCCUCUUCUUUGUGGGGCUCUUUGUAUAAGGCUGGGAAGGAACUAGAAAACAGGCCACAGGAAGACCUAGAAGCUCUGCUCAAGCAGUAGCUACAAGGCUAUACCACACCCAGGGUCAUAUUUAAACAGCAUUUUCUAAAGGAACUUAAGGAAUGAACUUGGCUCCUCAGGGCUCAGUGGGAAGGAAUCUUCUAACAAGCCCUUGGCCCCAGCCAGGAGGCUUGUGUGUUAAGUACCCUUCUCUGUCCAUGCUCCCCUUGAGCACUGUAAUCUGGCGCCUGCUGGCACCACUUGCACACUGAGCCCACGCUGGGCUUCCACAUUACCCCACAGGCGGCACAACACCCAACACACAGCAGGUGCUCAACAAACCGCAGGCUGGCUAGAAAAUAACUCAACCCAGAGGCAGGAGUUGAAGAGGCAGAGGCACCUGUUAGCAUGUAGUGUCUUCAGGCUUUCCUUAAGUUAUGGUUACCAUCUUUUUCCGAACUUCCCACAAGAAACACUUACUGAAAUUAAUUACUUUAGGCUGGAUAUGAAGUAAACAAAAACAUCCAAGGGAAAAAUUCAACCACCCUCAGUGUGGGGAGACACCCGUAUAUUUGUACAUAUAAUUAUGUAUGUAAGGAGGCCUGUUUCCGCUCAUUUCCAGAUAGUCUAUGUAAUUCCAUGAUGUCUCAAGCUAGUUUCAUUUUGUCAACAAGGGGAAAGCUUACUGAGUAGGCCCAUCUUUCUCAGGAGGACAGGCCAGCUCUCCACGGAUCCACUUCUAUGAGCCCUAGGAAAACUUCCUAGAAUGUGGGUGUGCUGUCAUAAAGGCCAGCUCUCCCCACCCCAGUCCGUCACCUCGAGCCUUCCGAGUGCUGCAGUCCUAUUUCCCUUCUAUAUUAAAUAUAACCAUUAGCUUUCAUUUCUGCAUAUGUAAGUGUGGGGCCAUAAACGACUGGUAAUUCUCAACUGCAUUCAAGCCUACUGCACUUAUGUCAGAAACAAACAAAACAAUAUAAGCCUCAUUUCCUGGUUAAUAACUCCCUGUAUACUCUUAGGAUCCAAGAUUGGAUAUUUGCAGUGGGUAUAAUUACGUUACUGAGUUCUAAUAACACAUCCCCAAGACAAACAUUUAAAAAACAAACAGGGUAGAAGGAGCAUAAAUAUUUCCAAAAUGGUCUGUUAAAAAAAAAAAAAAAAAGGCAUGAAGGGGCAUAAUCAAAAAGGAAAUUUAAGUCAGUGUGAAAACUGGAGGUUUAAUUUUCCGGUCUAAGUACUUAGAACCGUGGUAGUUUUGUUACCCGGCAACUUACCAAUUACGACCUAAAGAGAGUCCCUGAAAUUCUCUACAGAAUUCUCAUCUCAAAACGGGAACCAUCAAUGGUUACAACGGAAAAUAUGUGCACCAGUGUUUAGCUUUUCAAACCUCCAAGCUGAGAUUUUGUUUGUUUUGAGACAGGGUCUCUCUGCAUAGCCCUGGCUGUCCUGGAACUCACUGUGUAGACAGACCAGGCUGGCCUCGAAAUCAGAGAUCCACCUUCCUCUCCUUGGGGCUAGGAUUCAGGGAGAACGCUAGAUUUUUUGUCACUCUGUCCAGUCCCUCCUGCUCACCCCCUUUUUCUAUAAGCCACCCCAAAUGAGAGUUUUCCAGGUAGCUUUUCCAUGGUCACAACUGUUUCCCAUAACCCCAACAAACCUCUAUGUCAAGCCCUGUCAAUCCAGUGUCACUAAAAACAUUCCCUUGCAGUUUCAAACCCAGAUCCCGAGGAAGGUAACAGGAGCGUUACCUAUGGAUUUCCCGGUAAUUCACCGACCUCGGGUGGGUGCCGGGAAAUCGCCCUUACUUUGCCCGCCUAUCCACCCGGUUAUUUGAGGUCAAGGAUAAACACAGCUGAAAUCCCUUUGCCCUACAUUUGUGCACAGAACAAGAAAGAAACCCGAGUGUAGCUUUAGCGCGAACUGUCUCUGCAACAAACUUCUUUUCUGUAAACCACGAAAAUAGACAGAAAAUGAGAAAGCAAACCUUGGUCCAUCCCUCCAGCCUGCAAAGCUGCGAGGUCCGGACCCAUUUAAGAUGGCGAGAUGACUAGAGGCCUGGAGCUCCCUUGCUGAGGUGCUGGUGAGAAAGUCAAACCAUGCAAGCCUGUAUUGCAGAGUACUCUCUAUCCACUGUGGGAGCAGCUUUCCAGCUUCCCUCCCUUCUUCGGGGAUUCUCAAGCCAUCUCUCGCUGAACCUUGAAAGGAAAGCUUCAAUUAUGUAAACAACAUGGGUGAAUAACAGGCACACCCUCUUGGAGCAAGUACAGACUCCAUCCUUCUUUUGCAACCAAGCCCCAUAUCAAUGGACACCCAGCUGUCUCUCCCCUGGAGUGUCCCCGACAGUCACUAAUAGUGACAGGUUACAGCGGAUGUGUUGUGUCUAUGAUGACUACAAAGUUGGCUGUGAGUUGAAUCUUUCUGUAAUGACUCAUGUUGAGAGCACACCAGAGUCCCUGCGAGUGGCUACAAUAACCACUGAUGCUUCUCCUCUCAAGAGCCCACCCUAUUCAUAUCUAACAGAAAUUUGACUUUUGUUCAGUUAUCCACCCUGCUCUGUGAAGUCAUGCUCUUCAGGUGCAGCUUGCUCAAACAUCGAGCCCAGGAAGCUGAGGGCUAAUUUUCUAGGUCAGUCAUGUGGAUUCUAACCUCCUUGCUGUAGUCAGUAGUUUAGGAAGAGGCAGAUGAUCAGACUGGUUACUGAGAAGAAGCUGACAUGAUCUUGAGUGCACCGUAGCUGGCAGAGAGAAGAGAAUGCAGCGUUGGGGUGGCUAUGACAUCACCGAAUUAAGCCAUCGCACAGGUGUCCUCUCCAGGGUAUAUUUUCACCACACUACUUUCCUGACAAUAACUUUCCUGUUGCUUAGCAGUGCCCCAUCCUAUUAUUUAGAGCUUAAAAAAUUUUCUGAUAGACAUUUUUCCUUUUUAAUAAAAGGCUACAUUUUAUUUAUAAAUAAA